rnacentral:rRNA from 1 species
GUCGCGAGAUUUUGGCGGACGAGGGCAGCCACCGCGCGCUUGCGUGAAACAUUUUUCUUUUGUCUAUCCCCUCCUCCACGAGCGUCCUCUGUCGCGUGCCCAUGGCAAUCGGCCGGCGGUGCCCUCGGAUGCCUCCGCCAUUGGAGCAGCACCACCCACGAUCGCGCUCUUCUUGGCCCUCGGCCAUGGCCUUGCUCCUCAGGACGAGGCGAGCCACGGCCCCAUCCUUUCCAGGUGACGCCCUUCUCGCUGCAUGGUGACCGACAGCGGCGGCAGCGCACACCAAACAACGGCGGUAGUGCACACCACAGACUGCUUGGCGCUCGGCCAUGGCUUCUCCCUCCAUCAAUACCCCUCUUUCUCCUUGCCUCCCUCCCCCUCUCUCUCUCUCCUGGCGGAGUGUUGUGACCAUGGCUUGUUGGGAACAGGGCCCGGUAGUGGGGAACGAGAAUUACCAGAGAUGUUCUAGCGAACAAGAAUCACGAGGGAGAAGACUUUCGUGGUGAGGAACAAGAAGAUCUCUGGUGGUGGGGAACGAUAGCUUGCCUAUCUAUUCUCUCUCUCUGUAUGUGACAUUUUUUACCUCUAGUUUUCUCUGCAGAUUGCACAUAUGAACACUACUGGUAACAUUGAGC